GAACGCGAAGAACCUUACCAGUGUCUUGACAUCCAAAGAACCUUUACGAAAGUAAGGGGUGCCUUCGGGAGCUUUGAGACAGGUGGUGCAUGGUUGUCGUCAGCUCGUGUCGUGAGAUGUUGGGUUAAGUCCCGCAACGAGCGCAGCCCUUGCUAUUAGUUGCUAACAUUUCGGAUGAGCACUCUAAUGGGACUGCCCGUGACAAGCGGGAGGAAGGUGGGGAUGACGCCAAAUCAUCAUGCCCUUUAUGAUCUGGGCUACACACGUGCUACAAUGGAUGGUACAGAGAGCAGCGAGGCCGCGAGGUGGAGCGAAUCUCAAAAAGCCAUUCUCAGUUCGGAUUGGAGUCUGCAACUCGACUCCAUGAAGUCGGAAUCGCUAGUAAUCGCGAAUCAGAACGUCGCGGUGAAUGCGUUCCCGGGUCUUGUACACACCG
rnacentral:rRNA from 1 species